rnacentral:rRNA from 1 species
GGCCUUUUGGAGAUUUAUAUAAAAGGUUGGGCCUGCCCGGUGAUCUGAAAUGGUUUAACGGCUGCGAUUGAAACCGUACUAAGGUAGCAUAAUAAUUUGCCCUUUAAUUGGGGGAGAGAAUGAAUGGUUUGACGGUAAAAAAGCUGUUUUAAAAAUAAAAAAAGAAGUUAACUUUUAAGUGAAAAGGCUUAAGUUUUUAUAAAAGACGAGAAGACCCCGUCGAGCUUAAUUAGAAUAACUUAAAUGUAGGUUAUUUAAAAUUUUAUUGGGGCAAUAGAAAAUGAAAUGAAUCAUUUUUUUUAUUAUAAGGAUCCAGUUUUGACUGAAAAAAGCAAAAGCUACCGCGGGGAUAACAGGGUAAUUUUUUCUGAGAGUUCAUAUUUAAGAAGAAGUUUGCUACCUCGAUGUUGGAUUAGAAUUUCUUUAUGCUUGCAGCAGGUAUAAUCGCAGGACUGUUCGUCCUUUAAAAUUUU